UGGGGAAUUUUGGACAAUGGGCGCAAGCCUGAUCCAGCCAUGCCGCGUGAGUGAAGAAGGCCUUCGGGUUGUAAAGCUCUUUCAGACGGAAAGAAAUCUCUUGGGCGAAUGCCCUGGGAGGAUGACGGUACCGUAAGAAGAAGCACCGGCUAACUACGUGCCAGCAGCCGCGGUAAUACGGAGGGUGCAAGCGUUAAUCGGAAUUACUGGGCGUAAAGCGCACGCAGGCGGUUUGUUAAGUCAGAUGUGAAAUCCCCGGGCUCAACCUGGGAACUGCAUUUGAAACUGGCAAGCUUGAGUCUUGUAGAGGGGGGUAGAAUUCCACGUGUAGCAGUGAAAUGCGUAGAUAUGUGGAGGAACACCGAUGGCGAAGGCAGCCCCCUGGGUCAAGAUUGACGCUCAUGCACGAAAGCGUGGGGAGCAAACA
rnacentral:rRNA from 1 species